GGACCCGCACAAGCGGUGGAGCAUGUGGUUUAAUUCGAUGCAACGCGAAAAACCUUACCUACUCUUGACAUACUUGGAAGCUCUUGUAAUGAGAGUGUGCCUUUUGGAGCCAAGAUACAGGUGCUGCAUGGCUGUCGUCAGCUCGUGUCGUGAGAUGUUCCGUUAAGUCGGAUAACGAGCGCAACCCUUACCCUUAUUUGCCAGCGAUUCGGUCGGGAACUAUAAGGGGACUGCCGGUGAUAAACCGGAGGAAGGUGAGGACGACGUCAAGUCAUCAUGGCCCUUACGAGUAGGGCUACACACGUGCUACAAUGGGGAAUACAGACGGACGCUAAGCCGCGAGGUGGUGCUAAUCCCCAAAAGUUAUCUCAGUUCGGAUUGCACUCUGCAACUCGAGUGCAUGAAGUUGGAAUU
rnacentral:rRNA from 1 species